rnacentral:miRNA from 1 species
AUCUGCUCAUCUCGGGCAGCCUGGGGGCAAGAGUGUCCUUCCUGUCCUGUGCCCUCCUGGCUUCUGCCUGUCCCGGGGGAUUGCAGGAUCUUGGGCUGUGUCCCUGGCGCCCUGUACUCCCGGGCCUGCGCUGUUGGAAU